CCUAAGAAACACUCCAAAGUAUUAGUUGCAGACACUAGACUGAUUUGUUUUGGUAGAGGAAGUUUUCAACCCGGAAGGAAGGAAGCAAGGAAGCAAGGAAGCAAGGAAAGAAGGAAGGAAGAGGAAGAAAGAAAGAAAGAAAGAAAGAAAAAGAAAGAAAGAAAGAAAGAAAGAAAGAAAGAAAGAAAGAAAGAAAGAAAGAAAGAAAGAAAGAAAGAAAGAAAGAAAGAAAGAAAGAAAGAAAGAAAGAAAGAAAGAAAGAAAGAAAGAAAGAAAGAAAGAAAGAAAGAGAGAGAGAGAAAGAAAGAAAAGAUAGGAAGAAAGAAAGAAAGAGGAAGAGAGAGAAAGAAGGAAAGAAAGAUCGAACGCGGAAAUCCGGAAAGAAAGAAAGAAAGAGGAAAGAAGGAAAGAAAGAAAGAAGGAAAGAAAGAAAGAAAGAAAGAAAGAAGGAAAGAAAGAAAGAAAGAAAGAAAGAAAGAAAGAAAGAAAGAAAGAAAGAAAGAAAGAAAGAAAGAAAGAAAGAAAGAAAGAAAGAAAGAAAGAAAGAAAGAAAGAAAGAAAGAAAGAAAGAAAGAAAGAAAGAAAGAAAGAAAGAAAGAAAGAAAGAAAGAAAGAAAGAAAGACCUGGACAUAGAGCAUAUGAAGAGAGGUAGCAUGGGAUAAAUCUAGACAGGUAGGUUGGGACCAGGUCACUGAGGACCUUAAAUGAUUAGUUCAGCUCUGGAGCUUUGGUAGAAAGUUGCUCAUCACCAAUACAUCAUAGACAAGAAAUCACAAUUUGGGGUAAAGGGAAGGGCUAGUUUGGGAAAAUGUUCAUAAAAAUGAAAAUUCUCUUGCAUUGCCUUCCUACAGCUCUUUUCUCUCCCCUUUCCUUUCCACGUAUCAGGCGUAUCUCUCAUUCCUAGAGAGCCUUGAUCCUAGGUAGUUGUCAUAAUCCUCCCUGAGAUUUUUAAUAGAUAGCAGAUUAUGAUAAAACCUUGGUAGGAGAAGCAAGUGGUAGAGGGAGAUAUUGUACAUUAAUAAGGCCUCUUAAAAGCAAUUUUAAGACCUAUGGGACUCCUUCCCUAAUGAUAGAAUUUUAGGCCAGAAUGAUAUUUGAGAGAUGAGAUAGGGGACCUCAAGACACAUCCUAUAGAUGAAUAACUAAUUCUAGAAGGAACCUUGGGAAUUAUCUAAGCCAAUCUCAUCUUUUUUGACAUUUUUAUUGAUUUUGGGGAGGAGAUUUUGGACCACAUUUACUUACUAAUAUAUUUCUCUUCUUCCCCUACUCAUAACUCUAACAAAAAAAAUUCAAGGGAAAGAAAAAAAAACAGUUCAACAACGCUAAUGCAUCAUUUAGGUCUGAUAGUAUAUGCAGUGUUCUACACCAAUAGUCCUACACUUCUAUAGACAAGGUGCAUUUUCUUACCUCUUCUUUAGGAAGAAACGUCAACCCCAUCAUUUUAAUGAGGAAGAAGCUAAGAUUCAGACAUAGAAAGAAAGAAUUGGAUCUAGAGUCAGAGUUCUUAGAUUCGCUCUGCUAAUUACUACCUAUGUAGUCUUGGGUAGGUAGGUGACACAGAGGGUAGAGUUGCUGAACCUGAAGUCAGGAAGACUUGAGUUCAAAUAUGGACUCAGAUAUUUCUUAGUUGUGUGACUCUGAGCAAGUCAUUUAAUCCUAUUUGCCUCAGUUUCCUCCUCUGUAAAAUGAGUUGCAAAUUUGUCCAGUAUCUUUGCCAAUAAAACCCUUAAUGGACUCA
rnacentral:lncRNA from 1 species